ACCUGGGUGGCUCAGUCGGUUGAGCGUCUGACUUUGGUUCAGAUCAUGAUCUCAGGGUUCGUGGCUUUGAGCCUCGGGUC
rnacentral:tRNA from 1 species